AUAGGGGUGAAGCGAAAGGAGCAUGAAGAGUGUCCUAUGAGGUUGUGAACUAAAGCAAGUUGCCAUCAUCUGCCAAAUGUUCAAGCAGGGAAGGCACAGCUAGCUGCAUUCAUUACCUGUCCAGCUGAAUUUGGAAAGAUGUGAUGCAUUUAUCACCAUUACUAGCUGAAAAAAGAUCUGGUUUUUGACUGACAUGACAAACCUCAUAGCUGGCAUCCAGUUACAAAUGAAGAGCUGGGGAACGGGCAGAAUUUUCAUGUGCUUGAAGGAGAAAAAUAGCCGUGUUCCAGUUUCUGCCUCCCAAAGAACUGACACCAACUACAGCAAUGAACUUCAUGACACUGAUCCCUGGGAAUGAAGCAGCCUCAGAAAAAUCACUGGACAGGAGGAGAAACUCAACUGAAGGUGUUUGACAGCGGUGUUCUGACUGAUGACAUUCCAGCUUCACCCAAGGACUGUGCCACAUGCCAUCAAAGAAUGGGUCACAUACAACUGUGCCUGCUGUUAAUGCUGCCAAGCGCUCUGGACGUCUUCUGUGCUUCCAAAUGCAACAAUGCCCUGUAGGGACUGAAAGGCCUCACUUAGCGUAUCUUCCCGGAUAGAGAAAAGGGAACCUUCAGAACGAAAAUGAGAUGUCUCUUAAGGAAAGCGUUCUUCCCUCUGCAUUACUGAAAAGCAGGAAUUGUUUUAAGCAGAACAAAAGCAAUACCAAAAGGAAAUGUUUGCAAUAUUCAGUAUUCAACGUUGACGCUUUCAAAAGAUGUGUUUCCUUGCGGAGCCAAGCAGUUGACUCCCUGCCACUAAUACCAUUAUUUAUAGUGUGGCACAGGCAAAGGGACUUAAUCCAGCAGACCCCAAAUAGGGCUUCUUCAUUCAUAAGAAAUAUAAGGAAAGUGUGUCUGUACAGCGUCUGGCAAAGUAGUCCUCUGAUCCCUUGCUGGACAGGGAGGAGCUGCCAGCAUUAAGGUAUGUUUUGAUGGAGCUGGGAAGCAGCUUGAUUUAUGCUCUCAAGAAGAAGGGUUUUCUCCUUUGUGACCUUUUGAAACACCCAUGUUCAUUGUUCCUCCAUUAAACACAGAAGU
rnacentral:lncRNA from 7 species